rnacentral:rRNA from 1 species
CCUAUGGGCGGCAGCAGUGGGGAAUAUUGGGCAAUGGAGGCAACUCUGACCCAGCAACGCCGCGUGAAUGAUGAAGGUCUUCGGAUUGUAAAGUUCUGUGAUGGAGGAUGAAAACAAUGACGGUACCCCAAUAGCAAGCCACGGCUAACUACGUGCAAGCGGCCGCGGUGAUACGUAGGUGGCAAGCGUUAUCCGGAAUGACUGGGCGUAAAGGGUGCGUAGGUGGUUUAGUAAGUUGGCGGUGUAAUUCCGGGGCUCAACCUCGGCGCUACCGCCAAAACUAUUAGACGAGAGUGCAGGAGGGGUAAGUGGAAUGCGUAGUGUAGCGGUGGAAUGCGUAGAUAUUAGGCAGAACAUCAGGGGCGAAGGCGACUUACUGGAUUGUAACUGACACUGAGGCACGAAAGCGUGGGGAGCAAACAGGAUUAGAUACCCUAGUAGUC